GAUGAAGAACGCAGCGAAAUGCGAUACGUAAUGUGAAUUGCAGAAUUCAGUGAAUCAUCGAAUCUUUGAACGCACAUUGCGCCCCGUGGUAUUCCGCGGGGCAUGCCUGUUCGAGCGUCAUUACACCACUCAAGCCUCGCUUGGUAUUGGGCGACGCGGUACGCCGCGCGCCUCAAAUCUCUCGGCUGGUUCGAAUCGUCCCUCAGCGUUGUGGAAACUAUUCGCUAAAGGUGCGCGUUUCGGUCACGCCGUUAAACAAACCAACUCGUUAAAGGUUGACCUCGGAUCAGGUAGGGAUACCCGCUGAACUUAAGCAUAUCAAUAAGCGGAGGA
rnacentral:misc_RNA from 1 species